CCUACGGGAGGCAGCAGUGGGGAAUAUUGCACAAUGGGGGAAACCCUGAUGCAGCGACGCAGCGUGAGUGAAGAAGUAUUUCGGUACGUAAAGCUCUAUCAGCAGGGAAGAAAAUGACGUUACCUGACUAAGAAGCCCCGGCGAACUACGUGCCAGCAGCCGCGGUAAUACGUAGGGGGCAAGCGUUAUCCGGAUUUACUGGGGGUACAGGGAGAGUAGACGGCAGCGGAAGUCUGGAGUGAAAUCCCAUGGCUUAACCAUGGAACUGCUUUGGAAACUGUGCAGCUAGAGUGCAGGAGAGGUAGGCGGAAUGCCUAGUGUAGCGGUGAAAUGCGUAGAUAUUAGGAGGAACACCAGUGGCGAAGGCGGCUUACUGGGCUGUAACUGACGUUGAGGCUCGAAAGCGUGGGGAGCAAACAGGAUUAGAUACCCCUGUAGUC
rnacentral:rRNA from 1 species